rnacentral:rRNA from 1 species
UACGUAGGGGGCUAGCGUUAUCCGGAAUUACUGGGCGUAAAGGGUGCGUAGGCGGUCUUUCAAGCCAGAAGUGAAAGGCUACGGCUCAACCGUAGUAAGCUUUUGGAACUGUAAGACUUGAGUGCAGGAGAGGAGAGUGGAAUUCCUAGUGUAGCGGUGAAAUGCGUAGAUAUUAGGAGGAACACCAGUAGCGAAGGCGGCUUUCUGGACUGUAACUGACACUGAGGCACGAAAGCGUGGGGAGCAAACAGG